rnacentral:rRNA from 1 species
CGGUUAAGUUAGAAAGGGCGCACGGUGGAUGCCUUGGCACUAGGAGCCGAUGAAGGACGGGACGAACACCGAUAUGCUUCGGGGAGCUGUAAGCAAGCUUUGAUCCGGAGAUUUCCGAAUGGGGAAACCCACCACUCGUAAUGGAGUGGUAUCCAUAUCUGAAUACAUAGGAUAUGAGAAGGCAGACCCGGGGAACUGAAACAUCUAAGUACCCGGAGGAAGAGAAAGCAAAUGCGAUUCCCUGAGUAGCGGCGAGCGAAACGGGACCAGCCCAAACCAAGAGGCUUGCCUCUUGGGGUUGUAGGACACUCUGUACGGAGUUACAAAGGAACGAGGUAGAUGAAGAGGUCUGGAAAGGCCCGCCAUAGAAGGUAACAGCCCUGUAGUCAAAACUUCGUUCUCUCCUGAGUGGAUCCUGAGUACGGCGGAACACGUGAAAUUCCGUCGGAAUCCGGGAGGACCAUCUCCCAAGGCUAAAUACUCCCUAGUGACCGAUAGUGAACCAGUACCGUGAGGGAAAGGUGAAAAGCACCCCGGAAGGGGAGUGAAAGAGAUCCUGAAACCGUGUGCCUACAAGUAGUCAGAGCCCGUUAACGGGUGAUGGCGUGCCUUUUGUAGAAUGAACCGGCGAGUUACGAUCCCGUGCAAGGUUAAGCAGAAGAUGCGGAGCCGCAGCGAAAGCGAGUCUGAAUAGGGCGAAUUGAGUACGUGGUCGUAGACCCGAAACCAGGUGAUCUACCCAUGUCCAGGGUGAAGUUCAGGUAACACUGAAUGGAGGCCCGAACCCACGCACGUUGAAAAGUGCGGGGAUGAGGUGUGGGUAGGGGUGAAAUGCCAAUCGAACCUGGAGAUAGCUGGUUCUCUCCGAAAUAGCUUUAGGGCUAGCCUCAAGGUAAGAGUCUCGGAGGUAGAGCACUGAUUGGACUAGGGGCCCCUACCGGGUUACCGAAUUCAGUCAAACUCCGAAUGCCGAUGACUUAUCCUUGGGAGUCAGACUGCGAGUGAUAAGAUCCGUAGUCGAAAGGGAAACAGCCCAGACCGCCAGCUAAGGUCCCAAAGUAUACGUUAAGUGGAAAAGGAUGUGGAGUUGCUUAGACAACCAGGAUGUUGGCUUAGAAGCAGCCACCAUUUAAAGAGUGCGUAAUAGCUCACUGGUCGAGUGACUCUGCGCCGAAAAUGUACCGGGGCUAAACGUAUCACCGAAGCUGCGGACUGUUCUUCGAACAGUGGUAGGAGAGCGUUCUAAGGGCUGUGAAGCAAGACCGGAAGGACUUGUGGAGCGCUUAGAAGUGAGAAUGCCGGUAUGAGUAGCGAAAGAGGGGUGAGAAUCCCCUCCACCGAAUGCCUAAGGUUUCCUGAGGAAGGCUCGUCCGCUCAGGGUUAGUCGGGACCUAAGCCGAGGCCGAAAGGCGUAGGCGAUGGACAACAGGUUGAUAUUCCUGUACCACCUCCUCACCAUUUGAGCAAUGGGGGGACGCAGGAGGAUAGGGUAAGCGCGGUAUUGGAUAUCCGCGUCCAAGCAGUUAGGCUGGGAAAUAGGCAAAUCCGUUUCCCGUGAAGGCUGAGCUGUGAUGGCGAGCGAAUUAUAGUAGCGAAGUUCCUGAUUCCACACUGCCAAGAAAAGCCUCUAGCGAGGUGAGAGGUGCCCGUACCGCAAACCGACACAGGUAGGCGAGGAGAGAAUCCUAAGGUGAUCGAGAGAACUCUCGUUAAGGAACUCGGCAAAAUGACCCCGUAACUUCGGGAGAAGGGGUGCUCUGUUAGGGUGCAAGCCCGAGAGAGCCGCAGUGAAUAGGCCCAGGCGACUGUUUAGCAAAAACACAGGUCUCUGCGAAGCCGUAAGGCGAAGUAUAGGGGCUGACGCCUGCCCGGUGCUGGAAGGUUAAGAGGAGCGCUUAGCGUAAGCGAAGGUGCGAAUUGAAGCCCCAGUAAACGGCGGCCGUAACUAUAACGGUCCUAAGGUAGCGAAAUUCCUUGUCGGGUAAGUUCCGACCCGCACGAAAGGCGCAACGAUCUGGGCACUGUCUCAACGAGAGACUCGGUGAAAUUAUAGUACCUGUGAAGAUGCAGGUUACCCGCGACAGGACGGAAAGACCCCGUGGAGCUUUACUGCAGCCUGAUAUUGAAUGUUGGUACAGCUUGUACAGGAUAGGUAGGAGCCUUGGAAACCGGAGCGCCAGCUUCGGUGGAGGCAUCGGUGGGAUACUACCCUGGCUGUAUUGACCUUCUAACCCGCCGCCCUUAUCGGGCGGGGAGACAGUGUCAGGUGGGCAGUUUGACUGGGGCGGUCGCCUCCUAAAAGGUAACGGAGGCGCCCAAAGGUUCCCUCAGAAUGGUUGGAAAUCAUUCGCAGAGUGUAAAGGCACAAGGGAGCUUGACUGCGAGACCUACAAGUCGAGCAGGGACGAAAGUCGGGCUUAGUGAUCCGGUGGUUCCGCAUGGAAGGGCCAUCGCUCAACGGAUAAAAGCUACCCCGGGGAUAACAGGCUUAUCUCCCCCAAGAGUCCACAUCGACGGGGAGGUUUGGCACCUCGAUGUCGGCUCAUCGCAUCCUGGGGCUGUAGUCGGUCCCAAGGGUUGGGCUGUUCGCCCAUUAAAGCGGUACGCGAGCUGGGUUCAGAACGUCGUGAGACAGUUCGGUCCCUAUCCGUCGCGGGCGCAGGAAAUUUGAGAGGAGCUGUCCUUAGUACGAGAGGACCGGGAUGGACGCACCGCUGGUGUACCAGUUGUUCUGCCAAGGGCAUCGCUGGGUAGCUAUGUGCGGACGGGAUAAGUGCUGAAAGCAUCUAAGCAUGAAGCCCCCCUCAAGAUGAGAUUUCCCAUUCCGCAAGGAAGUAAGAUCCCUGAAAGAUGAUCAGGUUGAUAGGUCUGAGGUGGAAGUGUGGCGACACAUGGAGCUGACAGAUACUAAUCGAUCGAGGACUUAACCAAUUU